GGCAAUUAUGAAUAAAGCAGCUAUAAACAUCCAUGUGUAGGCUUUUGUGUAGACAUAAAAUUUCAGUUCCUUGGAAUAAACAACAAGGAUCAAGAAUUU